rnacentral:rRNA from 1 species
UACGAAGGGGGCUAGCGUUGCUCGGAAUCACUGGGCGUAAAGCGCACGUAGGCGGAUUGCUAAGUCAGGGGUGAAAUCCUGGAGCUCAACUCCAGAACUGCCUUUGAUACUGGCGGUCUCGAGUCCGGGAGAGGUGAGUGGAACUGCGAGUGUAGAGGUGAAAUUCGUAGAUAUUCGCGAAGAACACCAGUGGCGAAGGCGGCUCACUGGCCCGGUACUGACGCUGAGGUGCG